CCAAUCCUUUGGCACUUCUUCCGUGUAGCCAUUCAGGAGCCAUGACUUUGCUGGCUCUGUUAUGGCCUCCAGUGAGCACAACAUCUGAGAGCAAAGCCUGCACAGUUUUGGCUGCUUGGAGGAAGAGCUGCUUAAUCCACCACCACCUCGGAAGCGCUGAUGUUCCUCCAAGGCUGUGGGUGCCCACGAGAAGCCAGCCAAGCAAAAGCUGCUCAGCUGGAUGCCCAGUUCCAGCAGCUAGGAGGAGGAGUUUAGUGAGCGAUGGCAUCUCCUCCAUGCCUGGCAGGCCUGGCUCCAAGAUCAGCCUUGCUCUCAACCACCAGGGGCUAAUGCAGGAAGGGAGGGCCGUCAAGGAGGAGGCCCCGUUAGUCCCAGCAUCACCACUACAGCACUGGCAACUCCCAGUCACGGGGCUCAGCUCCAGCCCCAGGGCUCAGCCUCAGCAUGUUCACCCAGUGAACCUUCAGUCCCUGUGAUAGGAAGAUAGCAAAGACUCUUCACUUACUGUAAUUAUUGACAGUAUGCAGUGCACAGCUGAGACCCCUUUCUAUUUAACCACAGGUGUUCUUACUUGUGGGACAUUUAAUACUGUCUGUUACGUGCAAAAAUUCGAUUGCAUGAACGAACAUUGAAACUGCAACAUAAGGCACUCACAAGCUGAGAAAUGCCAGAAAUAAGAUUGCUAAUGUGUCCUUUA